rfam:Chlorocebus sabaeus isolate 1994-021 chromosome 4, whole genome shotgun sequence.
GCCGGGCGCGGUGGCUCAAGCCUGUAAUCCCAGCACUUUGGGAGGCCGAGACGGGCGGAUCACGAGGUCAGGAGAUCGAGACCAUCCUGGCUAACACGGUGAACCCCCGUCUCUACAAAAAAAUACAAAAAAAAACUAGCCGGGCNNNNNNNNNNGCCCGGCUAGUUUUUUUUUGUAUUUUUUUGUAGAGACGGGGGUUCACCGUGUUAGCCAGGAUGGUCUCGAUCUCCUGACCUCGUGAUCCGCCCGUCUCGG